AUGACCAACACCUCCAUCCACCUCUACAACGUCAACCAGAAGACGCUCCUGCAGUGGCACACAGAGAGGAGCAAGGGAAUGAGCACCACCUUCCUCCUCAGUACUGUCCCCGGACCAGGCGGACCUGCUUCUGGUACUCAGGGUGUCCCAUCACAGUCUCUGAAGGUGAACCCUGUGCUACCUCAGAGGCCGUUGCAGCACCCACAAACUGAAGACACCUCAGGGCUGGCAACCACACACCGUGGGCCUGUGGCACCGGCCCUGUAUGACCUGAUUGUCUCUGCUGCCAUGGCUUCUGAAGCAUCAGCUGCCACCAUCACUGCUUCACCAGACACAAUCACCACUACCACCCACCAUGCCAUCUCCAUCACCGCUGCUGCACCUGCUGCUGCUGCUGCUGCUGCUCCUGCUGCUGCUGCUGCUGCUGCUCCUGCUGCUGCUCCUGCUCCUGCUCCUGCUCCUGCUCCUGCUCCUGCUCCUGCUCCUGCUGCUGCUCCUGCUCCUGCUCCUGCUCCUGCUCCUGCUCCUGCUGCCGCCGCCGCCGCCGCCGCCGCCGCCGCCGCCGCUGCUGUUCCUCGCUCCACAGCCUGGCAGAGGAGGAUUAGAGAGGAGGAGCUGCGUCGUCAGCGAGAAAGGGGUCUCCCUCUUAAAGAGAGGAAGAUCUUUACACACUUCCGCUGUGGCCGCUGUGGUCAGCCCAAGACCAAACAGUAUGGCCACAGCCGUUACAGGGGAGAGUUCUUCUGUGCCACAUCGGAGGGUCGCUCUGUGGAUGACUGGUUGAAAGAGAAGAGACGACUGGACCCGAAAUGUAGGUCUUUAGAUGAUUACAUUUCCUUGUGUGUGUGUGGAGCGUCUGUCUGACCUCUGAUCUGUUUUAUUCUGUACAGACCAGCAGCCGCCCAGGUGAAGGACAAUCCACAACAAUGCACGUGACUCCUUUUAAUCUUUUUUCUAAUUGCAGGACACACCAACUUGACGUGCAGCAUAGUGUCACUUGUAUAUAGUUUGUGUAAUUUUGCUUAUAUAUAUUUUGUGUGUAUUUUUAAAAUCUAUCUAAUUUUAAUAGAGUAUUUUGUUACAAAUUUGUAAUGUACAUAGUUUAAUUUUACUGUUGACAAUGUUCUCAAGCUAAUUUAAUUGAUGUUUUUGUUACAUAAAAAAUCUUUUCAAAGGAUCAGUUCAGUGUUGACAUCUUUUCUUUGUAAUUACAUAAUGUAUAAUUUAUAAAUCUGAUGUGAACCAGGUUAAUUAUGAGGAUCGAACAUGAUCGUAUUGAUCCAUCAUGCCACAUCUAGUGAGAGAGUAGAACAUUUGAUCAGAUCUGUGUGUCCCUCACUGACAGCUGUGUGACAGCUGUCAGACACUCGCCCAAUCACCAGCUCCCGAUCACUUCACCUUGACACUCGCCCAAUCACCAGCUCCCGAUCACUUCACCUUGACACUCGCCCAAUCACCAGCUCCCGAUCACUUCACCUUUAUUCCAGGGAGACGAUCGUUCAGGGUAAAAGGCCCAUCUCCUGCCGACGGCCCCAGGUGGUCUAGGCGGCUCACAAUACACAUUGUAUGUCCUGUAGGUGUGACUCUGUGGGGGGCAGGUAGGAGCCCCAUAAAGGCUGCCUGGAUGAGGCUGUUGGUCUAGUCAAGGUCUAGUCUCAGGCUGCAACAACUUUGGGGAACUCCACAAAAAAGAAAUGGAAAACUUUGGAAGGUGAGGUCUAACUGGAUUCUUUAUCUUCUUCUUUUUGCUAUCAACUGUAUAUGUGUUCAGCCCUUCAUUAAUCAUUACAUGUUGAACUAUUAUUUACAGAACAGCACCUUUGAUAAAACACAUAGAGAGAAAAAGGAGCCAGGAGUAUACAGAAGGUUUGUAUUUUUUUACUGCACUCAAUAUUAACUUGUAUUUUUCAUUACAUUACAGCAAUGAUGUGAUUGACAUGCUUCUGUUUUUACUUAGAAACAUCAAGGGUAUCUUCUGAGGACGAAUCCCUUGCCUGGCACUCCCCAUGGAGAUCAUCAUCCUCCUCACCCGCCACAAGCACUGCCAACAUUGCUCUUCCAGAGGCUGCCACCACCGCUGCCGCCGCCAACGCCACCGCCGCUGCCGCCGCUGCCGCCGCAGCUUCACUACAAGAACAUGCUGCAACCACUGAUUCACCAAAGGGUGCUGGGGCCGCAGCCGCCGCCGCCGCCGCGGCUGCCGCCGCUGCAUCAGCUGCCUCGGCAGCCGCCACCGCUGCUGCCGCCGCUGCAUCAGCUGCCUCGGCAGCCGCCACCGCUGCUGCCGCCGCUGCAUCAGCUGCCUCGGCAGCCGCCACCGCUGCUGCCGCCGCUGCAUCAGCUGCCUCAGCUCCCUUGGCUGCCGCCACCGCCGCUGCAUCAGCUGCCUCAGCUGCCUCAGCUGCCUCAGCUCCCUCGGCUGCCGCCACCGCCGCUGCAUCAGCUCCCUCGGCUCCCUCGGCUCCCUCGGCUGCCUCGGCUGCCACCACCGCCGCUGCAUCAGCUCCCUCGGCUCCCUCGGCUGCCUCGGCUGCCACCACCGCCGCUGCCUCGGCUGCCUCGGCUCCCUCGGCUGCCUCAGCUGCUGCCGCCACCGCUGCUUCCUGUACCCGCCACAGUGGUCCAUCACGGAUGACUGUAUGGAGAAGAAAGAAGGCAAAACAGGAGGAUGCAGAAGCCUUAAAAAAGGAGGAAGGGCGCCAACAACAGCCCCAAGAGGAGCCCCAAGAGGAGCCCCAAGAAGAGCGCCAAAACCAAUGCCGACAUUGUGGACUUCCCAGGACCCUGUUGAAGGGGCAUGCCUUUUACAAAGGGCAUUUCUACUGCACACACACUGCAGGGCCUGGGGCAAAGUCUGCCAAUGAGUGGCUGAAGGAGCAGGAAGAAAAGGAAUCACCAAAAAUUCCCAGGACAACUGCCUUCACCAUGAAGAAAAAGUGGGAGAAUGAGCAUAGUUUCAAACCUCCAGAAAACAAAAGGAAGCGGAAUAAACUUAGAAUCUGCCAGCUGUGUGGCCUGCCA
ensembl:lncRNA ice-structuring glycoprotein-like